AAAAAAAAAGAGAAAUCAAGGAAGAAUCCACUAAGGGUUACUCUAAUGGUCUGACACCAGUGGGGCUGCUCCUAAGGACAUGGGGCUGCCUGCUCUAACCUGUUCUCUGGCCCUGGAAGGUCAGUGUCCUGCUCUGCCUGGCUGAGGGGAUGGCACGCGUGGGUGGGUGCUGUCAGGCUCUGCACAGCUGACUCCCUCCCAGUGAGAAAUGUACUUGGAACACUGGGCUUAACUGUUUCUCACAUUUUGCUUCAGAGUAGACAGGGCUGUGUCCCUCAGGCUACACACGAGGCGUGUGUGUGAGAAGGAUUCUACCCACUGUGGACACAUGUAACCAUGAGCUUCAGCAAGGGGGACAACGCAGCAUCCCCAAAGCAGCCCUCAGUGCGGCUGGGCUGUUCCGGUUAGAUUUAGUUGUGAAUCAUCGCAAUUCAGGCAUUGUGGGAGGGUCACGAGGAACAAAGGACACCCUAGCCCCUUCCCUCUUGGUGUGAACGGGCCCCCCCAUCCACCUCCUGGCUCCCCUGUGUGGUACCCACAGCACCUACUAUGGGAGCGGCACCUGUGUUCAUUUGUGGGCUCCACCCUGGCCCAGGGAUGACCACUGCUGACCUGAUGCUUUGCAGGGUCAGGCCCCGUUCGGAGAGAUUGCCAUGGUUCUGAGAAACGCAUCAUUUGGUGACUGGUCAUCAUGCAAACAUCCUUGAGCGCACUCACACAACCUGGAGGAUGUAGCUCACUGGAUGCCCAGGCUACGUGGAGUAGCCCAUUGCUCUGGGGCUACACACCCAUACAUCGUGUUACUGUGCUGAAUACACUAGGCAACUGUGAUACAAUGGUGAGUAUCUGUGUAUCUAAAUACUUCUAAACAUAGAUAAGGUGCAGAAAAAAUAAAAUCUUACGGGACUGCUGCAUAUGUGCUCCAUCACUGACUGAAACGCUAAGUGGUGCGCGACCGUGCCCAACGGGAGGUGUUACGUGGCGCGCGACCGUGCUCAAUAUUAGAAGUAAGAUGCCUUGGACACAGUAAUAUCCCUCUCAUUUUACAGUAUUUCUAUCCCUCCUCAGUCUCUGCUACAGUUAAUUAGAUACAAUUUUGUUUAAUUAUGUGAACCUUCUUGGGUCCCAUGGCUGGCCCCACCCUGGCCUCUCCCUAAGGGCGUGGAGGUGGCCUGAUCUCACUGCCUGCGUCAGGGACUCAGAUUCAAAGACUGAACCUACAUGGGUGUCUUGGGGAACAGAGACUUGGAUUCCAGUGCUGGUGUCUCUUCCAACAAGAAUACUUUCUUGAGGAGCACAGAUGCAGUUCCAAGGACCUAGGCACCUCCUCAUGGUGCCUUCCACCUGCAAUUCCCGUCCUGGGCAGCAGAAGUUGCCCUGCCCCAAGUUCUGACAGCCCAAAACCCGGCAGGACCCUCCUAGUACAGGCGCCUCGACCCAACUGUGCCAGCACAACCAUCCCAGCCCUCCUCGGAUGCCCAGUUCGCCAGAGGAAGGGUCUCUCUGUUUCCCCACCUAUUGCUCUUGAGUUUUUAUGAUGAAGGAAAAAGAAAGGAAACAUGGGCCCCUAAUUUCCCACACAGAUGCAGGGCAGAGUUCACACGGCUUCUCAGGGGCCUGCAUCUCAGAAGAUGGGCAGCUCUCGGCCAGUCACCCUGGCCUGGGAUGGCCGGGGUACAGCAAGUGACAGGCAUGUGGGAGAGACAAGCCCACGAGAUGGGCUUGCGGGGAAGUCAGGCGGGUGCAAUCCCUACCGUUUCCCCACGUUCGUGAGGGAGGUGUGGACUUGCUGGGGCAUCUGAACACAAGAGUGACCUGGGGGGUGAAUGCAGACAUGGGAAGAGUAGUGCUCAUCCCAGCAGAGGCAGCAAGGUAGGCGUUGCCCAGCCCGGGGUUGCCUGACACUCUCUGGGGCAGAGAACCCAGUUCUAGGGGCUGCCCACGUGUCACUUCCACCCCAGAUCUGGCUUCAUGGCCUGGUUGUGAUUCACCCUGUAUUUAUACAACACUACAGCAGUUACCAGAGAGCACAACUGUAAUUGAAACAACCAGAAAUAACCGUUGGCAGAAAAGCCCAUAUUUAGAGCAGACCUCCUUCAGCAAUUCCCAUGGCCAGCAUUCAAGGCCAAAUUUUGCCAACACAUCAAACCAACCGUUUUCUUCUUUCUUUUUAAAGGAGAUCACAGAAGGCCAACAAAGAGGCCUGGGGCACGUCAACGUGGUCCUCAUCGGACUGGCCAAUGGUUCCUUCCUAACUCAACCAAGGGCCACUGCGCCACCGCAGCUGUGGGACCGUAUCUCUGGAUGAUAAGCUGAGUCCAACACAAACACAACAGAACCCAAAAGAAUGCCCAGAAUGCCAAGAACAGUGAACAGCCAUACGCAAACGGGCAAUACUGAUGUUAGCUUUAAAAGUAAGGAGUUCAGAGUGCUCUGUGCUGAACAUCUUUCGGUGUAAUUAAGCCUUCAUAUUCCUGAGGAGGAGCUACUAAGACACCCUACCAAGUCCUGGGCUGUGCCUGGAGGUGAGUAACCACACUGCAGGGUAUGCUAGCAUUUGCAGAGUUUAUUUGAUGGAUAAGCAGGGAAAAGUUACUGUUUGCACUUCCUGUUUAUCCUGCUAAAAAUAGAGAUGCUCCAAGUAUCAACUUGGUUGUGCAUUCUCUGGCAAGGGCCAGCUUCCCAAAACAUUCCUGCACCCUUGGGGAGGCAGGGGAACAGAGAAGCGGGUCCUUAACACUUAACACAUUCUGUAUUUACAACCUAAAUACGCAGACUCAAGUCCAGACCCUCUCAUCGUGGCCAAUCCAUUCUGGUAACUGCUGUUCUUCUCACUUAAAUGGGCACAGCGAUACAGAGAAGGGCAAAGACAGCUGUCAUGUGUCCAAGGGAAAAGCCCAUGGCUUUUCACAGUCCCUGGCCAGAUGCAGCAGAAGCCUAGCAAAUAAAGAAGAAAGGCAGUGAAGGCCUAAGGCUGGGUCCUUUUGCCCCCAAAUGCCAUGUAGUCGUUGAGAGAACGUCCGGAGAGAACGUCCGGAUCAUCCCAGGAGAAUGAAAAACAAGUCAUUCCUGGCCUGUCGUCUGAGCCUCAAAUGCAGCCUCUCUGCAAGUGGGGCUCUUAACCUGGUAUAAGCCGAGAGCCCUUUAGCAAUCUGAUGAUGCUAGGGAACACCUUUCUCAAAAUAACGUUCCUAAAGGCAUAAAAUAAAGCACAGGGGAUUAUAGAGGAAAUUAUUUUGAAGACAAUUAUCAGAAUAGUAAAACAAAUGUGUGACAGAUUACUUUUCUUAUUCAUGCAUUAAAUAACAAUAUGUACCGUUGUUUUUAAAUAAUGAUUACUGUAAAUGAUAUUUAGGAUAUUGGAAUGCAACUACCACAGGAUAUGAAAAUAUCUCAUUUUUAUUGGUAACAAAGUGACAGGCCCAGCUAGUCCCAUUGGGCUGUGCUGAGUGCCUUCCCAGUGAGGACAGGGAGACAGCUGGGGAUGCCACACUCCUGUGCCCACCUGGGGCACUCACCAGGCUUGGAGCCCUCUCAGAGAAGCACAGGAAGUUUCCUAUUACCAGGGGAAGAGAGGAUUUUUUUUUAAAGUUUUGAACAAAUAUGUUUAUUAAAAAGUCAAAGUAUUCACAUAUGGAGAAUGGCUGAAUUUUGGAAAUAAAGGCUGGAGAUAAACCCAGAAAACCUUACCCAGGGCCAUGGCUCAGAUCCAGGGGUCUGAUCAUCAGCCUGUCCGCCCUGGUAAGGUAGACAGUCCUUUCUAUUUUUAACAGCUUUAUUCCGAAAUAAUUCACAUAAACUUCACCCAUUUAAAGUGUAGAAUUCAAUGGUUGUUGGUAUUUAUGCAAAUCUCUAGUUCUAGAACAUUUCUAUCACUCCAGAAAGAAACCCCCUCCCUCCCAAUUCUCCCCACCUCUCAGCCCCUGGCAACCAUGAGUCUAUGGAUUUGCCCAUUCUGGACUUUUCACAUUACAGAGGAUUCUUGUCACGUGUAGUAGUUUGUUCUCUAAAGUUGACAUGGUCACUGAAUUACUGAGCAUAGAACCAUUGCUUCCGGGGGACACAGGGUUAGGUUCCUGUUAGCCUCUGGUCACAACAUUUCAUCAAUACACAGUCCUUGAAUAAUGAGAAUCAACUUCCAAAGUCAUCAUACAAUAUGGGAACUUUUAUGUCCGGCUUCUCUCACUCUUAAACAUACGGUUUCUGAGGUUCAUCCAUCUGUAGCAUGUGUCAGCGCAUCAUUUUUCAUGGCUCGAUAACAUUCCACUGCAUGACUAGACACACACGCACAUGCGCACACUUUUUUAUCCAUUUAUCAGCUGAUGGACGCGUGGGCUGUUCUCGCCUUAUGGAUAUUGUGAAUAAUGUUACUAUGAACAUUCGUGUACUUUUUGUGUGGGUGCAUUUUUCCAUGUGCUAGUAUUUUGCUGAAGGGUUUUUACAUCUACAUUCAUAAAGGAAUGCUGUUCUGUAGUUUAUCACUGUGUCUUUGUAUGGUUUGGAGGAAGAGAUUAUUUUAAGCAACAGAUUAAUUUUUCUUUUUUUCUGAGACGGAGUUUCGCUCUGUCACCCAGGCUGGAGGGCAGUGGUGCAAUCUUGGCUCACUGCAACCUCUGCCUCCUGGGUUCAAGCGAUUUCUCCUGCCUCAGCCUCACGAGUAGCUGGGACUACA
rnacentral:lncRNA from 1 species